rnacentral:lncRNA from 1 species
GUGAAACAUUUUAUUAGAUAUGCAUUUAGGCCAAGGUAAGUGAUACAGGCACUUGACAGUCUCCUGCUAUUCUUGAAAAACAUUGUGGAUUAUUUCUUUUGGGGGAUUUUUCAAUUUCACAUGGGGACUAGUGUUAUACAGGGUAGAAAAUCAAAAGUUUUGAUAGAACAUAUAUUAGAAAAAGAUCAAGAUUUGAAAUUAUCCAG